rnacentral:rRNA from 1 species
GAAUUUUGCUCAAUGGGGGAAACCCUGAAGCAGCAACGCCGCGUGAGGGAUGAAGGCCUUCGGGUUGUAAACCUCUUUUCUCAGGGACGAUGAUGACGGUACCUGAGGAAUAAGCCACGGCUAACUACGUGCCAGCAGCCGCGGUAAUACGUAGGUGGCAAGCGUUGUCCGGAUUUACUGGGCGUAAAGAGCGCGCAGGCGGUCGUUUAAGUCGAAUGUGAAAGCCCCCGGCUCAACUGGGGAGGGUCAUUCGAUACUGAUCGACUUGAAGGCAGGAGAGGGAAGUGGAAUUCCGGGUGUAGUGGUGAAAUGCGUAGAUAUCCGGAGGAACACCAGUGGCGAAGGCGACUUCCUGGCCUGUUCUUGACGCCGAGGCGCGAAAGCUGGGGGAGCAAACGGG